AACGAACGCUGGCGGCAGGCCUAACACAUGCAAGUCGAACGAGAAGCCACCUGCGGGUGGUGGAUAGUGGCAGACGGGUGAGUAACGCGUGGGAACGUGCCUUUCGGUUCGGGAUAACCCAGGGAAACUUGGGCUAAUACCGGAUACGCCCUCCGGGGGAAAGAUUCAUUGCCGAAAGAUCGGCCCGCGUCGGAUUAGCUAGUUGGUGGGGGAAAAGCCUACCAAGGCGACGAUCCGUAGCUGGUCUGAGAGGAUGACCAGCCACACUGGGACUGAGACACGGCCCAGACUCCUACGGGAGGCAGCAGUGGGGAAUAUUGGAGCAUGGGCGCAAGCCCGGUCCAGCCAGGCCGCGUGGGUGAAGAAGGCCCUAGGGUUGUAAACCCCUUUCAGCGGGGAAGAUAAUGACGGUACCCGCAGAAGAAGCCCCGGCUAACUCCGUGCCAGCCGCCGCGGUAAUAC
rnacentral:rRNA from 1 species